AGGGGCUGGCUGUGGAGGUAAAGCAGAUCUCUUAGGCCCGCUAGCCUCUCCUGCUGCAUGUGUCAUUCCUGCCCGCGCGACAUUUUCCCCCUAAGCUACUGCACACAAAACAGAGCGAGAAAGCUUCUCCCUGCAGUCUUCUUGGAGGCCUCCUGGUUUCUCACCCAUUGUUGGUGGGUGUAUUUCAAUUUUUUGAUUCCCUGGACUGUGGGUUAUGAAAUCAAUGCUGCUGAAGACAAAAGCAACCUUCCCUGCCUCUCGGUGCUAUGCGUGGUCCUCCUCGGCCUCCCACUUGUGGGGGAAAGGGUUUUCUCUUUCUUUCUGUGUGUUUUGAGCCAGCACAGUUACCAAAAUUGAACUUGCCGUCACUUGUGAGCGGUGUGGUCAUGGUGUGAGGUACGUGAUGCUCGUUAGGUUAAUUCUUUGGACUCAGGGGUCAGGAUCUGUUUUUGCUGUAGCUCAUGGCUUCUGCUGCAGACCUAUUGUUCGUUCCUUUUUAAAGUUAUUUUUAUAGCGUGGCUGGUGGCUGAGAGGUUCCUGAGGUACAGGUCUUCAGUCCUCAGAAGCUGGUCUUUAGAGCAAAAAUGGGUAAUAGAUUGCAUGCCUGAACAAUGAUUUUUGUUUAUAAAAAGAAAUAAAAAAAAAUGAGAAAACCGAAAAACUUACUGCAUGUCUGGAGGUCGGUGAUUUGGGCUGAAGUAACUUCCUGAGAGUGGCUAACUUCACUUUACAAACAAGGAGGGAUUUUAAGCAAGGGCUGUGGGAAUGUUAGCUACUCCUGAGGCACUGUUGUCUUGGUCUAAUUAUAGAAAGAAAGUUUGUUGAUGUUUAUAAAACUGAUAAACUCAAAUAAAGAUUUUAAACAAUAACCUCAAUGUUUGAAGUUCAUAAAAACAAAACAGCACCUAAGUUCUAGCAGAAUAUGGUUUUUUAAAAAUCACCUCAUAAGCAAAAAGUUGAGUCUUCACACUCUACUUUCCAGGUAGAUCUGAAUAAAUAAUAAAUAAUAUAAAUAUUCACCUGAGUGUGAAAUAUACAAAAUAUACAGUAGAGUUUGACCAGAGCGUUAAUUUAAUCACGACAAAUUUCUUAUAUCUUGAAACUAUAUAUGCUAUCAAUCAUGAUGUUGUUAAUUUAAUUGGGAUAAAGUGAUUUGUUUAACAACUCUUUUGUUCAAGUGUUUAUACUUUUUGCUAACACCACAAACAAAAGCUCCCAUAACACUUUCACAAGCAUGAGAGAGUCUUUCUAAUUGUUUAACUUUAUAAAAGAGAUGCAGCUUUUGAAGUGAGAAAGUCAGGUAUAUUUUACAUGUAGAUAGACAUGUUUACUCUAAAAAUGGAAGUAUUUUAUUCAAAAUUCCUUUUGAAAACAAUAUUAUAAGAUUAACUUUUAGUCUACCCCAAACUAUGAACCCAAAGUACUAAUGGUGCAUUUUAAAUACAAGUGUGCAGCAUGCAUCCGCCUCAAAGAACUUUAUUGUCUUUCCUUCCUCAAUUGACCCAAAGGAGCAUAAAUGAUUGAAUUGCUUCAGUGUAGUAUAGUAAGUCAUUUGGUUGAAACUCUCCUUAAAGUUAUGCUUCACUAUUACAUUUUAUUUAUUGUAAUAUUUGUUUAUGGUAGACCACUGCAGGGGUGUUUGUAUGUUGAUACACUUUUAAAAACUCUUGCUUCGGCCCCCUUCUCCUAAUCAGUCAUUUAAAAUAUAUUUUUAGCUUGAAUGUAGGGAAAAUAAAUUAACAUUAAAUAUUAGUUACACAGUUCAAAGCUUCAAACUGUAAAAUGUGGACAGUCUGUGAAGACUCCUGAAAUGAUUUCCCUCAGAGGACUACCAGCAGGGUGGUGGCUGGAGCCACAGUGUGCUCUGAAGGGCUGUGUGGCCGCCUUUUGAUUUCUACCUUCAGCCUUCAGAUUUGUGAAUCAGAUCUGUCAACUUCUGCAAAUCCUCGGACAGAGAGCACAGUUGAUUUCCCCCCUCCCCCCUCCCAAAGUUAAUCACCCAUCUUGGUUGGCUUCCUCCUUGCCUCCCUGACAUUUGACUGCCGCUAAUUCACUGAUUAAUCUCAUUAAUGUGAUUAUAGCAGGAUUUGGAGCUAGCCGCCAUUGUUCUGUAGACAGUGCUAUUCAGGCUGAGCACUUUCCACCCCAUUCAGUUUGCUGUGAUUUUUCAAAGGCUGGUGGAGGGAGCCAUUGUGAUAGGGUUUCCUGGCCUCCUUUCAGCACCGGGAGCUGUCCGUGGCAGAUAGCAAUUGCAUUCAGCAGAGACUUCCUACAGGUUCACUGCCUAUGUGAAAACAGCUCACUAGCAUCACCUUAAUGACUGUGCUCACUGAGGUAGAAGUCAGUCGAGUGGUGUUUAUGGUCACAAUUGGAUGUUUUGAAGAUGGUGGCAGCCCAGAUCUGUAGCUGACGGUUUUUAUUUUGUAAAGACAUUGCAACUGCUAUUGCAUGCACGAGCUUAUAAAUAUCAAACACAUGAAUCUGCCAAAAUAACUCAUGUGCUUUGGGGCUCUAAAACUACAAACAUUACUACUUUGAGAGUAGACGCUCUUUACCGCAAUGUGUCCGGUUAAUAAUACAAUAUCAGUUUUGAAAAGAUGAGUCAGGGCAGAGAGAGUUACCUUAGGACAGGAAGUACGAAUGGCCGGAAUCGUUCUAUGAAGUGAAACUGGCACCAGUACUACCAACCAAUACCAGUUUCAUGGUUCUGUGUCUGAAGCUAAGGCCAGGGUUGAGGCCCAAUAACUUGAGAAUACUUAUGACUAAUACACAAAAAUUCUUAAAGGAACAGGAGCCUACUGUUUUCCUUUGAACUACAUAGCUGUAUAAACUUGGUUUAAAAGCAUGUAGCUAUGGCUAGAGGGUCAGAGCUCACAGAUGUGGUAACUUUAUUAUUCCUGCAAUGUUUUCUACCUGGUUUAAUUUAAUUUUUAACUCUUUAAAUUUUUUUGGCUUUUAUUAAUUGUUAUAAACUAUCCCACUCUCUGAUGAUAUCUGUUCACUUCCUUUACCAACUAUCAAAAAUAAAUGUAAAUAAAAGUUAUUUUGCAGUAUUAAAGAUCUUUCAAAGUUUUCUAUUUGUUACCAUUAUACAUAGAUUAAAAAAUAAUGGAUUUAAAAUUUGAAUAUUCAUUUGCAUUGUUUGUUCUAUGUAGAAAUGCAGCACAUGUACCACGUUC
rnacentral:lncRNA from 1 species